UGGGGAAUUUUGGACAAUGGGCGCAAGCCUGAUCCAGCCAUGCCGCGUGCGGGAAGAAGGCCUUCGGGUUGUAAACCGCUGUUGUCAGGGAAGAAAAGGUUCUGGCUAAUACCUGGGACUCAUGACGGUACCUGAAGAAUAAGCACCGGCUAACUACGUGCCAGCAGCCGCGGUAAUACGUAGGGUGCAAGCGUUAAAUCGGAAUUACUGGGCGUAAAGCGAGCGCAGGCGGUUAUGCAAGACAGAGGUGAAAUCCCCGGGCUCAACCUGGGAACUGCCUUUGUGACUGCAUGGCUAGAGUACGGUAGAGGGGGAUGGAAUUCCGCGUGUAGCAGUGAAAUGCGUAGAUAUGCGGAGGAACACCGAUGGCGAAGGCAAUCCCCUGGACCUGUACUGACGCUCAUGCACGAAAGCGUGGGGAGCAAACAGGAUUAGAUACCCUGGUAGUCCACGCCCUAAACGAUGUCAACUGGUUGUUGGGAGGGUUUCUUCUCUAA
rnacentral:rRNA from 1 species